rnacentral:misc_RNA from 1 species
GUGAAUUAAACAUGCUUGGUGUCUUCGCUUCGGCAAGGCCCUUGCUUAAAUCACAUCCUAACACCUGUGAACUGUAAGACGUAUGAUGAGGUCUUUGGCCAAGUCAUCGUCUGCUCCAUUUUUAACAAACAAUUAAUGUAACAAACGUAGUCUUAUUAUAACCUAAUA